UCACUACAACAAACCGUACAUUUGGCGACUAAAAUUGGCGACCAAACCAAUUUUAGUCGCCAAAAACAGGGUGUUCGGCGACCAAACUUCCAUUUUUAGUCGGCAUUCAUUUAGUAUUUUUAGCUACCAAAGUUUUUAGUCGCCAUACAGUGUUAUUGGCGACUAAUUUGUUUUUAGUCGCUGCUUUGAACCACUUUACGCUACCAAAGUUCAAUUUCGUCGCCGUAUGAUAACAUUUCGCGACAAAAACGUUUUGUCGUCAAAAAAAUGGGAGAAAUUUUUAUGCUUUUUGGCGACCAAAACAAAUAUUUAGUCGCUGAAGUUUGGAAAUGUUUUUUUAGAGGGAAACUCAUUAAUAUUGGCGCCUACAUUUAACAAAGGAUUAUUUGUCUUCUGUUUGACACACACCACAGAGCAGUCGAUACCAAAGCUCUGCGCCGCUGGCCACCGUCGUUCAUCACCGGCGCUCGCGACCACGAACAUUGCAGUCCGGCCCACCACUGAUUACAGGUAUUUAGGGCUUUUUCUGAUUUCGUGAGGUUGGAGAAAGAGGUCGUGAGGGUAGCUUUUUUGUAUCCCCGCUUCUGUAUCAUCCCCGCUUCUGAUUACAGAUGGGCAAUGUUUGGUUUUGCUGUUGGGAUGCUAACAGAGUAUGCAACAGGCUCAGACUUCGUUGAUCAAUUCUCUAUUUAAAGUAAAGGAAGAUGAUGAAGUAGACAAUUUAGACAUAAAGUUCAAAGUGAGGCGGAAAACAAAGCGUGUAUACUCAUAUCUACCUCAUGAAGUUUGUUUAAAGAUUAGUAGAUCAUUAAAA